rnacentral:rRNA from 1 species
AGAGUUUGAUUAUGGCUCAGGAUGAACGCUGGCGGCGUGCUUAACACAUGCAAGUCGAACGGAGUUAGAGAGCUUGCUCUUAAACUUAGUGGCGGACGGGUGAGUAACGCGUGGGUAACCUGCCUUCACUGGGGGAUAACAGUUAGAAAUGACUGCUAAUACCGCAUAAGCGCACGGGAUCGCAUGAUCUAGUGUGAAAAACUCCGGUGGUGAAAGAUGGACCCCGCGUCUGAUUAGCCAGUUGGCAGGGUAACGGCCUACCAAAGCGACGAUCAGUAGCCGACCUGAGAGGGUGAUCGGCCACAUUGGGACUGAGACACGGCCCAGACUCCUACGGGAGGCAGCAGUGGGGAAUAUUGCACAAUGGGCGCAAGCCUGAUGCAGCAACGCCGCGUGAGGGAAGACGGUUUUCGGAUUGUAAACCUCUGUUCUUAGUGACGAAGAAGUGACGGUAGCUAAGGAGCAAGCCACGGCUAACUACGUGCCAGCCGCCGC